rnacentral:lncRNA from 1 species
UAGUGCAUACGCACAAUGCUUGAAAACAAACAACAGCGCACCUAGCUUGAAAAUAAAAUACCCAGAAUUUUGGGGGCCCUAUUCUGAACCAAUAUCAUGGGCCCAGAUAACAGAAGGACAUCUCAUAACAUGCGAACUUCCUAUACAUAAUUCACCCAGCUAUGCUGUGCCACACUACUGCAGAUUGGAUUACAAUAAGAAUAAAAAAUAAGCUAAUAGUGAGAACAUUCACUUGCAUAUACAAGAUAUCAGGACCACACAUGGCCUUCAGCAGCUAGAGUAUUGACAUAUGAUGAAUAGAAACCAAUGGAUAUACAGGCAUGAAGCUAUUCAAUAAAGUGUAUAGAGAGUCCAUACCAUGACCUACUGACAUCCAGCAGCUUCAGUGCUUGACCACCUUGAACAAAAGCCCAACAUGUCCACAUGCGAAAUAUACAUAGAAACGAGUACUUCAAUAAAUCUCAUCAUUUUCAGGAACUUCAAUAAAAAUCCAUAGGAACUAUAAGCAGCAAUGACCAAGAAAUUCAAAGAAUAAAGGACACAAGAGGAUCAAGUUCGUUUGAAGUUGUGAUUACAAGCUGUUCAUUCUCGAAUAGAACAUCAUUAGAUACUGUGGUCUAAUUUGAAAAAGAGGGACCUAAGAUGACAUAAACGCAAAACAGAGGAAACAUUUAAUAUGUUGCACGUAAAUAGUUUGGGAAAAAUGCUUGGGGGAAACCUGGACAGCUGAAACUGAAACUAGUAAAUACUAACGGUGAAAUCUAUAUAGCAUACGGGAAAAAGAGGGAGGAGAAUCUACGUAUUAAAUUGUGCUAGACAGAGAAAAUGGCAGGAAAGAAACAUAAACGGACAAUUGGCCAGGUGGCAAACUGAGUUUUUCAACCACUAUAGUAGCAAAAAUCAGUUAUUAUCUGCUAUAUAGUUAGAAGGAAAGUAAAACCUCUAAAAAGAUGUGGUCAGAUAACAAUUAGCAGUCAUUAAUGAACUUUUCAAUACCUACCUUAUACUUGAAUAAAGUUUUAGGGGUGAAUCUUCGAGUCCCUUCUCAUACCAAAUGCUGUGACUUCAGUCAACACCUUCCAAAUACAUAACAGGAAAAAAAGGACAAAUGAGCUGCCAACAGUAUGCAAGCAUUCUAUAAGAUGUCAAAGGAUAAAGAGAAGUACCACAAAAUGAAAGAGCUUCGGGCACAUCAAGAUGAAGCUGGUUAAUAAUUUCUAAAUCUCUGCAUCUCAAGCUGAUAAGCAAAAAUACA